rnacentral:rRNA from 1 species
GUAUGAGUGUGUAAGAGCGCAUGGUGGAUGCCUUGGCAUCAGGAGCCGAUGAAGGACGUGGAAAUCUGCGAUAAGCCUCGGGGAGCCGAUAAACGGGCUGUGAUCCGAGGGUGUCCGAAUGGGGAAACCCCGCCGCAUGAGAGUGUGGUGACCCGCAUCUGAAUAUAUAGGGUGUGUGGGGGGAACGCGGGGAAGUGAAACAUCUCAGUACCCGUAGGAAGAGAAAAUAAAACAUGAUUCCGGGAGUAGUGGCGAGCGAAACUGGAUGAGCCUAAACCGUGUGCGUGUCAAACGUGCUGGUGUUGCGUAUGCGGUGUUGUGGGGUAUGUGUGUCUAGUCCAGCAUGACUAGGACGUUGAUGUGUGUUGCGUGUAGUCGAAGCUGGUGGGAAACAGUACCGGAGUGGGUGAGAGUCCCGUAGACGAAACAUGUGGCCCCGACGUUGUGCAUACACCCGAGUAGCACGAUACUCGUGGAAUGUCGUGUGAAUCUGCCAGGACCACCUGGUAAGGCUAAAUACUUCCUGAUGACCGAUAGCGGAUAGUACCGUGAGGGAAUGGUGAAAAGUACCCCGGGAGGGGAGUGAAAUAGUAC